CCAAGAUCCCAUCGUCUUCUUCCCUCGGCUCUUCUCCCUUCUGUACCUGUACACCGACGAUUUGCAAGCUAGGGUUAUCGAUUUGCUUCGUCGCCUCUCUCCCCUGCAUCUCCCCCUCUGCUGGGCCACUCUAAUCUUCUCCCUCUCGUGUAUACUACCUAGUUCCAGCUCCGUACAAGUGCCCCCUCUCCCCUGAAAUGGCCGCGCCAGCGACGAGCGCUUACAUGUAGCGUCGCCGUGCUGUGGGAUCUGGGCAACAUUGAGCCAGCCAAUGCAAAGCCGGCCAUCUUCUGCAGCUUAAAGUAUCCAGGCUUGCAGGAAUGAAGAGCAGACAUUAAGGUCAAGAUCUGGAACAAAAAUAUAUUUUUUGUAAUGUCAGUACUGUCAGCAUGUUAGCUGCAAGCUCAUCUAUAAUUGCAUCCACUUUGUCUCUUCCAGCCAGCCAAGAUAUCUCUGUCAGGUGAUGAGGGGAGCUGCUAAUUCAGGAUAUAUUGGCAUCUGAAACGUAAUGUAUCUCUUGUAGUAAAGUGAUUGGUAAUAGAACAUGGUGGACCUUCUGUUUAAGAGCCGUGUAGAACAGAGCUAUCCUUAUGAAAUAUGUAUGUCAUAUAUGUACACAAUGAGUGAAUCCGACUGCUUAUACGAAAGCGGUGUACAAGAAAUUUAAAUAUGGUACUGUUAAGUUU